UAUGACAAGGGAGAGAACGCAUCUAAGCUCAGGGCAGUCUUUUUAACCUGCUGUGGGGAGAAAGCAAAGGAAACAGAAGUAAAUGACUCUCUGUGUUCCUGAGAGGCCCAGAACUAGGAUCAUAGAUGCGGAUGGAGUCAGCUGAGGCUGCCAGCUACCACAGCUUUUAUACCAACGGAUGUGGGAAGGAGAAGAAAAUGAGCCACGAAAGUAGGUUAAUCUCCCAGAGAAACACAAAAUAGGUAGCAAGUAGCAUUUUUACACCUUUCACUCUUUAAUUGCUUCAAACCAAGACUGUGAAGUGCAAGGAAUUCCUUCUGUGUCCUUACCUUACCUCUCUCAGCCUUUUAGGAAUAUCCCCUGUUCUAAUACAGUUUUUGUAUCCGAGCUGAUUGCUCAGCUCGGUGCCCUCCCCAGACCGACAAACAACUUUCACUUCUUGCAAGGGAUUUUCAAUACAACUUGGUAUUGAGAGCCGAUGAAGUUUUUGUUAUUGUUUUAUUAUUCACAAAGUGCUCACCAUAGAAAGUAGGAUGUGCAAUCUUGAUUUUGCAUUAAGAAAGUCCAUGAAAACACAAAGAUCUAACCUGGGAAAUGAAAUGCAAUUUCUAUUUCAUAGGGAUUACCAAAAUGAGACCCCACUAUACCAUCCAGACACUUAAUUCAAUACUUCUUUUCAAAAGGGGUAAGUAAGUUGUUGAUCAAGUUAUCCUGAAAGAAUUAAAAGAACAUUUAUUAUAUAUCCAACACACCACUUCUUGGAUUUCCCAAGCUUUUCCUCUACAUCUGUAAUGGACCAUCCACAGAAUCAGUAAUUUUUGCUGUGAUUUCUUCUGUUAUUCCAGUUUACCCUUAAGACUUGUAUAAAAUGGUAAUGACAUGUAUUUACCAUGAAGGAAAGAGUCCAUGGAAUAACUACAGAUGCACAACUUUUAUUGCAUCCAUCACUAUUUGAUAUUGCUACUCUACUUCAGAAAUUCACCCAACCUAAAAGGAGAACUAAAACAGAGUUGGAAAAGAGGAAGUAUAUGCUGAAAAUGAAAUUGGAGGCUGACUAAAGGAGAUUUAUAAACUUGAAACAAAUGUCACAUCUUAUCAAGAACAAGAACCAGUUCUAACUGGACUACAUAGAUUUCCUGAUAUAUUUUGGAGCUGGGACAUACUGGAUUUUCUAGCUGUCCACCACUACCACAAUUAUUACAACUUUUAAAAUUUAGACUGUUUCAUGUCCUACAUGAAAUACAUGUGAUGUUUAAAUUAAUUUUUUGUUUUGUUUUUGUUGUUUUUAUAUAUUUACUUAUUAUUUUGUAACGAAGGUACUGGGAAUUGAACCCAGAGUGCUAAGCACACACUCUACCACUGAGUCAUACUCUCUUAAUACAUGCGAAGUUAAAAUUUUUCUAAAUAAUCUUACAACUGCUGAGGUAAUUGGAGAUAUUUAAAGAUACAGAAAGAAGUGUAUUCCAGUUGACUUUCUCCAAAAUCUCCCCUCUCUUUUUAUUUCACCAAACAAGUAGAGAGUAAACAUUUUUUUAAAUGGUAAAUUUUUAAAAAUUAAACUUUAAAUUUAAAACUGCAGUAAUUCUUUUUUUAGGAGAGAAAUAAGAGAUGCAGACCUAGAUUAUUUCUAUCAGAUUAAUUGUAAAUAGCUUAUAGAGAAAAAGCAAUACAGACCUAGUUAUACAAGUUCAUCAGCUAGACUCAAAGUUACUUUAAAAAAUAGUAUACAGGCAUUUCCUUCAAACUUCUAAACUCUGACUACAGAAAUUGACAAUGACUUGAUUAAGUCCAUAUCAGGUAGAAUAUGGAUACCACCUAAGGAUUAAUUUGUCUUUUGUUCAAAUUAACAUGAAUAAAUUCUCCUCUUUCCAGAGAACUGUUAGCAUAAUUAUGGCCUUUAUCUUUCCAAAAGCACUUGUCAUUUAAUUAUUAGUGUAAUUUUUUCUGAUUCUUUAUUAGAAUCUUUGAGACAGCACAGAUUGUGCUUGUUUUUAUUAUUAAAACAACAGUUUGAUGAAUCAAAACCUCAAGUCCCCUACCGUCAAAGAGUAACUGUUCAUACAAAACAUACCGGAAUGUUUAAUACAUAUCUGUAAAAGCAGUUUUAAGUAAAUAAAAGCUCUUUGCCAAACAAGGUCCAUGUUUUGAAACUUCCAGCUGUGAAGCACCCACCAUAUAAAGCAGACACAUUAAAUGUUAAUCACUUUAGCUCAAACUAAUUAAAUAUUUAGCCCUACAAAGAUCUAGAGAAAAUGAAAAAGAUUGAAUUGAUUUAAUGUAUAUAACUAUUUUGAAUCAUAGUCUCUCCCAAGAUGACUAAAAUCAAACUAGAUAGCAUUUUAUCUUUGAAACCUCCAAGGUGCAAG